CUCUCUGCAGAAUAGAAGGGGCCCUUGCUGCCUAACGCUCCAUUCUCUUCGCGUCUCUAGGAUCCUCCUGCCCUUUGAGCUCAGAUCCUUAAGGAUGCUUCUAGUUCUGAUUUAUAAAGACUGAGCUACUGCCCUCCCAGGGCCCACAGAUUAUUGCAGUGAAGGGGUGGGCAGGCGCUCGUGAGACAGACGGUGCCCAGGAGAGUGACUCAAACAGGACAGUCAGUGAACUACAACUACGAGGCUCUCGGGAAGUGAAGCUUGCAAUGAACCCAGCUGAAAAGCCCAGGCCGACUAUAAACUAUGACUAAUGGCUCUUGUAAGUCCGAGAAGUUCCUGCCGGAAAGCCUAGGCAAAAGAAGCUGAAGAGAAUCAGGGCAGUUUUUCAGCUGCUAAAUUCUCUUGACAACUCUCCCAGGUAAAAUUCUGGAGCUUCGUCUGUACUUUCUUUCCCUUUGAAGCACUGUUCUGUUAGCAAGGGAGCCUUGCAAAACCACCCGUGAUUGGAAGUUUCAAGUCUGUGACAGAGUUCCAGCUGAUUUCAGUUCAAAGUUGGAUUUCUAAGUGGACCAAUACCCUGCCAAGCAAUGGCCUGUUUCAAUUCAAAUGCAAUUGAAACAAACAUGGAUUGAAAAUUGAAAGCGGGAAGGGCUGAAUAUGCUUUGAUCGCCUCUUUUUAUGAAAAUUUUGUGUCAUCAUUUUCCAUAAUGAAAAAAUAAUAACUAAGCCCUUCCUCUGGAACAGCUGUUUUCAACCCGUGCACCACAAGAAUCUUUAGAACAUGCAGUACCUGACUAUGUCAUCAGGGGCACUGACCUCUUUUCCCUGAGACUGUCAAAUGGAAAAAUGACGAUAACCACACAACCACAGCCGUCUGCUGUGAAGGAAUGAAAAUUAUACCUAUUUUUGGUCAGCUCAGCAAAAAAUACAUUUUUCGGUGUGCUGCAGAA